GACAUCAAGAACAAGAAAGAAGAACAAGGCCUAAAUAUCACAAAAUCUGCCAAAUUGGAAGGGCAAUUGAGGGUUAAAUGGAUGCAUGAACUAAGAUUUAUAAUCAUUUAAGUGUUCUUAACACCAAAAAGAUGAAGUUUAGUGAAUGGCAAGGACUCAAGCACGGAUGGCUAACGAGUCAAAAGAAGGCAAGAAGACGAGCUCGAACAUGGAUGCAUACGGUAAGUGAAUUCCGGAACCUCACUUCUUAAUACAUAAUUAAAGUCUGUUGUAUGAAGGUUAGGUGUCAUGUAGUAUGUUGCUUAUAGUAAAUGGGAAAGAAUGUUGUAGUAUGUUGCUUAUAGUUCAAAAUCAACGGAAAGUGCAUGGUGAAUUCAAAUGGGUCAUAACGCGGAAAGUAAUUUAGUGUUAUGUAAAAGUUAAUUUGAUUUUAUUAUUAAGAAAUUAGAAGGAUAUGGGACUUGAAUAUGGAUAAUUACGUCAUGGAAAUAUGAAAACGGGAAAGAAAGAAGUUCGAAGGCCUAACGGUUGUUUGCAAAAGUAAAUAAAAAACAUAAGUUGCUGAACUGGGCUCUACCGUAGCUACCGUAAGCUACGAUAGGUGGUGAUGCCACUACUUCCAAUGUAAGACAAUCAACCCACACCGUAGGGAAAUUCCCAACCACCGUAAGCUACGGUGGAUACCGUAGGUUACGGUGGGGUUCCACCAACAAAGUUGUUUCUUCGUUUUUCUUCGAUUUCGGACCCCGUGAACCCGUUCCAAGCUCCAUUAUACAUCCAUAUGGUACCUCAAUCUUACUAAAUGGUUUUUGUGAAGUAUGGAUGAGUAUUGAAUUCAUCUUUUGGAUUCAGAAAUGUAACCGAAAGUCAUUAAAAAGCGAUUAUAAGGUAUGAGUAAGAAAGGGGCGUGUAAGUGAGUAUGCGUGGGUACAAAAUAAGUAUAUGGGCAUGUACGUAUAGAUUUAAUUGCCUUUGAGUAGAUGGAACCUUUAAGUAAGCAUGUAUAGAAAUGGGUGUGCAUGUAAGUUGUUAUUUACAUGACUUAUAUGUAUGGUAGCAUGUAACUAAGACUUGUUCACUUAAACAUGUAAGAAUGUAAACUGUAAGUAAGAGUUUAUAAAGAGUGGUAAUUGUAUGAAGUAAAAAUUAUUAUACAUGAAUGGUUUGGAUUAGAUAAGAUGUAUGCGCAUUACUGAACCAUGGGUAUUUGAACGUGUGAACUCUCAUAUGAAACUUGUAAGUGUUUGUGGGGUUGAUAUACAUCAGUAUUAAUGAUGUUAACCGGGUUGCUUUUGAGGUUGAAAUGAAGUGCAGGUACAUUAUUGUUGACUCACUAAAAAUUAGAUACCAAGAUGAAAUGCUGGAAUUCAGAAGGAUAAAUGAAUGGAAUGCAUAUCAGAAUAUAAUGAGAUGAGAUCCAUAAUUAUGAAUCUUAGAAAUAUAGUUAUAUAUAUGUAAGGUUUACUAAUGAUGCGAAUGUAUGUGGUGAGCGCAGGUUGCACAGAAUUAUGGAUUAUCAGCAUGAAGGACAAGAGAUUUAAAGAUCGAGUUAGAGAUGCAUGGAGUGUACGGAAUGGGUGAUCAUUUAAUUUUAUUAGUAUGUUAUAUUUGAUUUACAAAAUGAAGGAUGAAUGAUGCAAUUCUUCUAACUAAGUUGUUUUAAAUGAUUGAAAAGUAUGAAACGAUAUU
rnacentral:lncRNA from 1 species